rnacentral:tRNA from 1 species
GGGGUUGUAGUUCAGUGGCAGAAUGCUUGCCUAGCAUGUGGGAGGUCCUGGGUUCGAUCCCCAGCACCA